rnacentral:rRNA from 1 species
GUAGGCAACCUGCCCUCAAGCUUGGGACAACUACCGGAAACGGUAGCUAAUACCGAAUACAUGAUUUGUUCGCCUGAACGAAUCUGGAAAGACGGAGCAAUCUGUCACUUGAGGAUGGGCCUGCGGCGCAUUAGCUAGUUGGUGAGGUAACGGCUCACCAAGGCGACGAUGCGUAGCCGACCUGAGAGGGUGAUCGGCCACACUGGGACUGAGACACGGCCCAGACUCCUACGGGAGGCAGCAGUAGGGAAUCUUCCGCAAUGGACGCAAGUCUGACGGAGCAACGCCGCGUGAGUGAUGAAGGUUUUCGGAUCGUAAAGCUCUGUUGCCAGGGAAGAACGUCCGGAUUAGUAACUGAAUCCGGAGUGACGGUACCUGAGAAGAAAGCCCCGGCUAACUACGUG